rnacentral:rRNA from 1 species
GACGAACGCUGGCGGCGUGCUUAACACAUGCAAGUCGAGCGGAAAGGCCCUUCGGGGUACUCGAGCGGCGAACGGGUGAGUAACACGUGAGUAAUCUGCCCUUCACUCUGGGAUAGCCACCGGAAACGGUGAUUAAUACCGGAUACGACCACCGUGGGCAUCCACUGGUGGGGGAAACUUUUUUGGGUGGGGGAUGUGCUCGCGGCCUAUCAGCUUGUUGGUGGGGUAAUGGCCUACCAAGGCUUCGACGGGUAGCCGGCCUGAGAGGGUGACCGGCCACACUGGGACUGAGACACGGCCCAGACUCCUACGGGAGGCAGCAGUGGGGAAUAUUGGACAAUGGGCGGAAGCCUGAUCCAGCAACGCCGCGUGAGGGAUGACGGCCUUCGGGUUGUAAACCUCUUUCAGCACCGACGAAGCGCAAGUGACGGUAGGUGCAGAAGAAGGACCGGCCAACUACGUGCCAGCAGCCGCGGUAAUAC